AUUUUACUUUAUAGUAAUUUAUCUUAGUCCAGGUGCAGUGCCUCACACCUGUAAUCCCAGCACUUUGGAAGGCUGAGCUGGGAGGAUUGCUUGAGGCUGGCAGUUUGAGACUUCUUCCAUUUUAAGGGACCUUGUGAUUACAGCUGGUCCAUCUGGAUAUUCUAAGAUACUCUCCCUAUUUUAAGGAGAGAAAUCUGAAAUCUGAGGUGCAGUUGAUUUGAAUCCAGGAAAUCUAAGGAAAAAGUUCAAGCUCUUAAUCAUUUCAUACCCUCCUUGUUGUUAAUUUAAACUUUUUUUUAAAAAAAGUUAAUCUUGUCUAUGAAGCAUGAAUCUCUAAUACUAGGGGAAAAACUGGCUAACUUGAAGAAAAAAUAAAUUGAAAUGGAAAGCAAUUAAUUCCUCUUAAUAUGAAUAAAGGAUGAUCUAAAUGC
rnacentral:lncRNA from 1 species